rnacentral:lncRNA from 1 species
UAAGUUAAUAUAAAAUAUAUUUUAAUAAUAAAAUAUAAGUUAGGAUUUAAGAGUGUAUUAAAUAUAGGAAAACUGUAUUAAAUAUAUGAAAAGAGCCAAGUUAAAUAACAGCUACAUUCAAUUUUUGUAAACCGGUAAGAGAUUCCUGCACUAUUUACAUAUAUCAAAUGGGACUAAAUGUUUAAAUGGAAUUCCUGAAACUUUUCAAGUUCUACUAUCAGUGAUGAAAUAAGAAGUCAGUUGGCCGGGCGUGGUGGCUCAUGCCUGUAAUCCCAGCACUUUGGGAGGCUGAGGUGGGCGAAUCAUGAGGUCAGGAGAUCGAGACCAUCUUGUCUAACAUGGUGAAACCCCAUCUCUACUAAAAAUACAAAAAAAUUAGCCGGGUUUGGUGGCAGGCGCCUGUAGUCCCAGCUACUUGGGAGGCUGAGGCAGGAGAAUGACGUGAACCCGGGAGGCAGAGCUUGCCAGUGAGCCAAGAUCGCACCACUGGGCGACAGAGCCAGAAUCCAUCUCCAAAAAAAACCACAAGUCAGUUAAAGUGAAUACUACGUAAAUAAUUCUGAGUACACGUUGAGGCAGGCACCUACUCUGGAAAGGUAUGAAAAAAGAAAUAUAUGCUUGUUACCUGUCUGAGGUUGAUGCCUCUGGUUCCAGCAUAAGGGCUUUCUUUGAGUGGUUUGCCAUAAGGUAGGUCUAAGAAGUUGGAUCCUACCUCAAAAGACCUUAAUCUCAUGUCUCUUAGGACAUUCUCUCAUCAAGAAAUUCUAUUUCUAUUAUUGCAGAUUCUAAAUUGCUAGCAAGUCUGGUUACAUUUUUUGGACAGAGAAUCUUUAGGUGUUUUUUUGUUACUGUGGUUGUUGUUUUGGUUUGCUGCUUGAUUCUCUUUUGAUUUGUUUUAUUUAUUUAUUUACUUAUUUUCCUCUUACAUUUAUUUCUGCAGACUAUGUUACCUGGACUUUCCAGAUAUAAAUUCCUGUUUGGCUGAGGGAUGGAUCCUCAUGCUCUUCUUGUCUCAGAAGGUUUCCCAAUUCCAACAAACUACUAUAGGCACUACCAAAGGCAUAAUUUGACAGCAGACACUUAUAUUGAAGGCCUCAAUAAGAAAAAAAUACUUAUACUCAAUGAGCAUGUGAAUUCACUUCUUCUACUGCCAUUAACUAUAUGGAAGUUCAUUCAAUUAUGACCCAGUGUUGAUCCAGUAGAAGAGCUAACCAAGCAGGAUGCCUUUCCUCGAGCAGAGCU